rnacentral:other from 1 species
AAGUGGCUGCGUGGUGCGACAGGCUGUUUAUCCCUGGGGCCGAUAACCUAUUCUCUCGGGAGCUGUCUCUGCUGCGAUCGUGGUCGUGGUACGCGGUGCCCACCUGCCUAGGCAGGCCGCAAGAGGAUACAAUGCCAACGGCUGAGGCGGCUGCUUC